rnacentral:rRNA from 1 species
GACGAACGCUGGCGGCGUGCUUAACACAUGCAAGUCGAGCGGUAAGGCCCUUUCGGGGUACGACGAGCGGCGAACGGGUAGGAGUAACACGUGGGUGGACCUCGCCCUCCAGCUCUGGGAGUAAGCCCGGGAAACCGUAGGGUCGUAAUACUGGAUAUGACUCCACGGUGCAUGCCGUGGGGUGGAAAGACCUUGUGCGGCUGAGGAUGGGCCCGGCGGCCUAUCAGCUUGUUGGUGGGGUGAUGGCCUACCAAGGCGACGACGGGUAGCCGGCCUGAGAGGGCGACCGGCCACA